rnacentral:rRNA from 1 species
ACUCCUGCGGGAGGCAGCAGUGGGGAAUUUUGGACAAUGGGCGAAAGCCUGAUCCAGCCAUGCCGCGUGCAGGAUGAAGGCCUUCGGGUUGUAAACUGCUUUUGUACGGAACGAAACGGCCUUUUCUAAUAAAGAGGGCUAAUGACGGUACCGUAAGAAUAAGCACCGGCUAACUACGUGCCAGCAGCCGCGGUAAUACGUAGGGUGCAAGCGUUAAUCGGAAUUACUGGGCGUAAAGCGUGCGCAGGCGGUUAUGUAAGACAGUUGUGAAAUCCCCGGGCUCAACCUGGGAACUGCAUCUGUGACUGCAUAGCUAGAGUACGGUAGAGGGUGAUGGAAUUCCGCGUGUAGCAGUGAAAUGCGUAGAUAUGCGGAGGAACACCGAUGGCGAAGGCAAUCCCCUGGACCUGUACUGACGCUCAUGCACGAAAGCGUGGGGAGCAAACAGGAUUAGAUACCCCAGUAGUCCCAUGAU